AACUUUAAGCACACGUGAGCGUCCUAGGCUGGCAGCCAUGGCUGGCGGGUCCUUCCUCGCAUGUGCUGCGGCCCUCACCUUAUCUUCCGUCAUCAGGGCACAGGCGCCGUUCAGGGCUAUUCCGAGUCCAGGUAGAGAUGGCUGAGCUCGGUGGCAGGAGAUCAGCCUGCGGUGGAGCAGGGACGUUUGCCCUGGGGAGACACGUGCCACCGGGUGGACAUCGAGGCCCUGUGGGUGGCCCUACAGCGUGGAAGGGAUGACCGAGCUUUGGAAGAUGUCCUGGAAACCUAAGUUGCUGGAGCUAGAAGAGACUUGAUAGCACUUCAGAGACCAUCAGGCUGUUUCGUGGAACUUCCACCAAAGAGAUGCAGAAAUGGAGACUCCAGAGCUGGAGAGAGAUGACUCAACGGUUAAGAGCACUGACUGCUCUUCCAGAGGUCCUGAGUUCAAUUUCCAGCAACCACACGGUGGCUCACAAUUAUCUGUAAUGGGGAUCUGAUGCCCUCUGGUGUGUCUGAAGACAGUGAUGGUGUACUGACAUACAUGAAGUAAAUAAGUAAAUUAAUAAAUAGAAAUGAGACUCCA
ensembl:processed_transcript